CACGUAGGGUGCGAGCGUUGUCCGGAAUUAUUGGGCGUAAAGAGCUCGUAGGCGGUGUGUCGCGUCGGCCGUGAAAACCUGCAGCUUAACUGUGGGCUUGCGGUCGAUACGGGCAUCACUGGAGUUCGGCAGGGGAGACUGGAAUUCCUGGUGUAGCGGUGAAAUGCGCAGAUAUCAGGAGGAACAUCCGUGGCGAAGGCGGCUCUCUGGGACGGUACUGACGCUGAGACGCGAAAGCGUGGGGAGCGAACAGG
rnacentral:rRNA from 1 species